rnacentral:misc_RNA from 1 species
AAAAGCCAAUUAUUUAUUUGAAUGCAUUGAUAAAUAAAAUUUCACUUUUACUUAUAUGCCACCAAUUAUAUUAUUUUCUCAAAAAAUUACAAUUUAAUUAUAAUCAAUCAAUAAUCAUCCUCCUCCCUCUCCUCUCCUUCAACCGAUAACUAAAAAAAAAAAAAAUUAUUCUUUCUUCUAUAUCAUUUCCUUUCCUUUCUCCCCGUUUCCCUUCACUUCUAAACAGACAAUCAAGCCGUAAAAAUAAUAUAACAAUUUUAUUUAUAAUCAAUCAAUAAUCAUCCUCCUCCCUCUCCUCUCCUUCAACCGAUAACUAAAAAAAAAAAAAAUUAUUCUUUCUUCUAUAUCAUUUCCUUUCCUUUCUCCCCGUUUCCCUUCACUUCUAAACAGACAAUCAAGCCGUAAAAAUAAUAUAACAAUUUUAU